AGUCGAGCGGAACGAGUUAUCUGAACCUUCGGGGGACGAUAACGGCGUCGAGCGGCGGACGGGUGAGUAAUGCCUAGGAAAUUGCCCUGAUGUGGGGGAUAACCAUUGGAAACGAUGGCUAAUACCGCAUGAUGCCUACGGGCCAAAGAGGGGGACCUUCGGGCCUCUCGCGUCAGGAUAUGCCUAGGUGGGAUUAGCUAGUUGGUGAGGUAAGGGCUCACCAAGGCGACGAUCCCUAGCUGGUCUGAGAGGAUGAUCAGCCACACUGGAACUGAGACACGGUCCAGACUCCUACGGGAGGCAGCAGUGGGGAAUAUUGCACAAUGGGCGCAAGCCUGAUGCAGCCAUGCCGCGUGUGUGAAGAAGGCCUUCGGGUUGUAAAGCACUUUCAGUCGUGAGGAAGGUGGCGUCGUUAAUAGCUGCGUUGUUUGANNNNAGCGACAGAAGANNNNNCGGCUAACUCCGUGCCAGCAGCCGCGGUAAUACGGNAGGGUGCCAGCGUUAAUCGGA
rnacentral:rRNA from 1 species